CCAGCUUGCUGGGUGGAUUAGUGGCGAACGGGUGAGUAACACGUGAGUAACCUGCCCUUAACUCUGGGAUAAGCCUGGGAAACUGGGUCUAAUACCGGAUAGGAGCGUCCACCGCAUGGUGGGUGUUGGAAAGAUUUAUCGGUUUUGGAUGGACUCGCGGCCUAUCAGCUUGUUGGUGAGGUAAUGGCUCACCAAGGCGACGACGGGUAGCCGGCCUGAGAGGGUGACCGGCCACACUGGGACUGAGACACGGCCCAGACUCCUACGGGAGGCAGCAGUGGGGAAUAUUGCACAAUGGGCGCAAGCCUGAUGCAGCGACGCCGCGUGAGGGAUGACGGCCUUCGGGUUGUAAACCUCUUUCAGUAGGGAAGAAGCGAAAGUGACGGUACCUGCAGAAGAAGCACCGGCUAACUACGUGCCAGCAGCCGCGGUAAUACGUAGGGUGCGAGCGUUAUCCGGAAUUAUUGGGCGUAAAGAGCUCGUAGGCGGUUUGUCGCGUCUGUCGUGAAAGUCCGGGGCUUAACCCCGGAUCUGCGGUGGGUACGGGCAGACUAGAGUGCAGUAGGGGAGACUGGAAUUCCUGGUGUAGCGGUGGAAUGCGCAGAUAUCAGGAGGAACACCGAUGGCGAAGGCAGGUCUCUGGGCUGUAACUGACGCUGAGGAGCGAAAGCAUGGGGAGCGAACAGGAUUAGAUACCCUGGUAGUCCAUGCCGUAAACGUUGGGCACUA
rnacentral:rRNA from 1 species